rnacentral:rRNA from 1 species
GACGAACGCUGGCGGCGUGCCUAAUACAUGCAAGUUGAGCGCUGAAGGUUGGUACUUGUACCAACUGGAUGAGCAGCGAACGGGUGAGUAACGCGUGGGGAAUCUGCCUUUGAGCGGGGGACAACAUUUGGAAACGAAUGCUAAUACCGCAUAAAAACUUUAAACACAAGUUUUAAGUUUGAAAGAUGCAAUUGCAUCACUCAAAGAUGAUCCCGCGUUGUAUUAGCUAGUUGGUGAGGUAAAGGCUCACCAAGGCGAUGAUACAUAGCCGACCUGAGAGGGUGAUCGGCUACAAUGGGACUGAGACGCGGCCCAAACUCCUACGGGAGGCAGCAGUAGGGAAUCUUCGGCAAUGGACGAAAGUCUGACCGAGCAACGCCGCGUGAGUGAAGAAGGGUUUCGGAUCGUAAAACUCUGUUGGUAGAGAAGAACGUUGGUGAGAGUGGAAAGCUCAUCAAGUGACGGUAACUACCCAGAAAGGGACGGCUAACUACGUG